rnacentral:lncRNA from 1 species
GAAAGGACUCCAUUAACUCAAGAUGAUGGGAAUGCAAAUCCUGAAGAAAUAGUUGGAGAUACACAAUCUCAAAUACAAAAUAUUCUUGGAAAAUUUGAAGGUGACAUUAACAAGACUCUUCAUGUAAAGAGAAAACACAUGGAAACUUAUAUCAAAGAUUCUUUCAAACGCAGUAACCAAAAAUUAGAACAAGUUUGGAAAAUGAACAAACGGGAAAGGAAGAAGAUCAACAGCAAAUUUUGUAAGCAGUAUAUAACUACAUUUCAGAAGUUCGAUAUGGAUGUACAGAAAUUCAAUGAAGAACAAGAAAAAUCAGCUAAUAAUUAUCAAAAACAACAAAAAGCAUUUAAACUGUCAAAAAGUAGCCAGAACCAGUCCCUGCAAGCAGUUAGAGAAGUGCAUGAGAAAUUCAUGAAGGGUUUGAUGGACUUGGAGACCAACAACCAUGAUAUGCUUUUUGGUAUAGACGGCGAACUGAGAAAAGAAAUGUCUAUGUUUAAAAAAAACCUCAUGAAGCAGACUCUGAAGUUCUCUUCUGCUUUUGAAACUUCUGAC